rnacentral:rRNA from 1 species
AUCAUACCACAUUGAUUACGUCCCUGCCUUUUGUACACACCGCCCGUCGCUCCUACCGAUGGGACAAAAAGAUGAACCUGGCGGACCAAACCGUAAGGGGNGGGAAACCAGA